rnacentral:rRNA from 1 species
UACGUAGGGUGCAAGCGUUGUCCGGAAUUAUUGGGCGUAAAGAGCUCGUAGGCGGCUUGUUGCGUCAGCUGUGAAAACCCGCAGCGUCAACUGUGGGCUUGCAGCUGAUACGGGGCAGGGCUUGAGUUCGGUAGGGGAGACUGGAAUUCCUGGUGUAGCGGUGAAAUGCGCAGAUAUCAGGGAGGGAACACCCGGUGGGCGAAGGCGGGUCUCUGGGCCUGUACUGACGCUGGAGGAGCGGAAAGCGUUGGGGGAGGCGAACGG